ensembl:snoRNA small nucleolar RNA SNORD88
AUUCUCUUAAGAUGAAAUGCACUGGGCUCAGAAAAUCUGUGGCGACAGUCGUGCAACUCUGCCUCUGACAGGGCAGACUGAGGAGAAA